rnacentral:rRNA from 1 species
CAGCAGCCACGGGAAUACAGAGGGUGCGAGCGUUAAUCGGAUUUACUGGGCGUAAAGCGUGCGUAGGCGGCUUCUUAAGUCGGAUGUGAAAUCCCUGAGCUUAACUUAGGAAUUGCAUUCGAUACUGGGAAGCUAGAGUAUGGGAGAGGAUGGUAGAAUUCCAGGUGUAGCGGUGAAAUGCGUAGAGAUCUGGAGGAAUACCGAUGGCGAAGGCAGCCAUCUGGCCUAAUACUGACGCUGAGGUACGAAAGCAUGGGGAGCAAAAAGGAUUAGAUACCCCGGUAGUCCCUGUCUCUUAUAC